ACUGUGCUCUCAUCACAUCCUUAUCACAAUAAACUGCAGUGUAAGGGUCAAAAUGACAUAUGGCUUUAAAAUCUGUUUUAAAUGGCUGAAUCCGUUAAAUUUGUUUUAAAUAUUAUUAGUAUUAUGCAUCAAUCUGACUGUGAAAAUUAGCCUCAGGAAUUAGGCAGUCACAGCAUCUGAAUCCAGAGUGAAGAAAAUCCUUUUCAUGUCUCUCAGGUUUCUCCGUUUGGGGUUUGUCCAUCAACAGAGGCCAAUUAGACUGGACCUGACCAGUCUCUAUUAAAACAGAAAGUGUUUACAUCAGUUUGGCCAGUGUUUGCACUUGAAGAUACUGAGAACCAAACAUAACAGCAACAUGGAUACCCUCUAUUAUGUCCACAAGGCAAGAGUGAGUCCAAAAUGUGGUACAUGCUGCAGUGUAAUGGCUGUGAAGUACCACACCACAUUUUUGUGUUGGGAUACGUGAGAUGUUUUGGCAAGGCUGGAGGACUUGAAGAAGUGCAAGGCUGCUGCGCAGAAGGGGGUGCUUGUGGAGGUUUGUUUAUUCGCAGGAUUAUACACAUCAAGCAUCAGUCUUUUGGGUUAGCCUUCAUCCGUUUGGAAACGGAUCAUUAUCUUAACCUCCGAGCGACUCUCUGUUCCUCUGUCGCAGCGGUGCCAAUUCUGAAAACCGAUCGUAGUUUUGACAUGAUGCUGAACUGCUCUCCUGCGGCCCAGGAUACAUCUGUAAACAUUGGCUAAAUGAAGUCGUGGGGUUCUCACAAUGAAACACCCCCUGCUCCCACCCCCCUGAUGGCCCUUCCAUCCUUCAGAUAUCCAAUGGAUGUGCUAAAACCCCCGCUGUGUCUGGUCCUUUAGCAGCAGACCUGUCACAAAGCCUCACACCUCGUGGCCGGCUCAGCGGCCCGUCUCUGGCUCCCAUCUCUGACAUCUGCUCAGGGUUGGGGUUUCAUUCAAGAGGGGGGCAGAGGGAGUCAAUCUGCUCUUUUAAAAGAGCCUCACAGUGCCCUGGGUGCUGAUGGGGAGGAAUGAAGUAUCUGCACCAUUUCUCUUGCUGGCACCACUGGUGUGCUAUUCUCCAUCCCUUCCCCAUCAACGCCACCACAAUUUAAAGCCGUCUUUCAUAUCCUCCCACGGCUCCAGAUUGACAGGCAUCAGACAGUUCAGGUGAUGAGGAGGAGAGGGUGUGAAUGGAGAUAGAGAGGUG
rnacentral:lncRNA from 1 species